CACGUAGGGCGCAAGCGUUGUCCGGAUUCAUUGGGCGUAAAGGGUGCGUAGGUGGCGCCAUAAGUCGGGUGUGAAAUCUCGGGGCUUAACUCCGAAACUGCAUUCGAUACUGUGGUGCUUGAGGACUGGAGAGGAGACUGGAAUUCAUGGUGUAGCAGUGAAAUGCGUAGAGAUCAUGAGGAAGACCAGUGGCGAAGGCGGGUCUCUGGACAGUUCCUGACACUGAGGCACGAAGGCCAGGGGAGCAAACGGG
rnacentral:rRNA from 1 species